GAGCCGGGAGGAUUGCUUUGCGCUAAAUCGUGAUGGAUGGGUUCUAUCCACCCUUGUCUGAUUCUUAAAGACGACAAAAUGCGCAUCUGAGCUC
rfam:Vitis vinifera, whole genome shotgun sequence of line PN40024, unoriented chromosome 15, chr15